rnacentral:rRNA from 1 species
GACGAACGCUGGCGGCGUGCUUAACACAUGCAAGUCGAACGAUGAAGCCGGAGCUUGCUCUGGUGAAUUAGUGGCGAACGGGUGAGUAACACGUGAGUAACCUGCCCUUGACUCUGGGAUAACUGCUAGAAAUGGUAGCUAAUACCGGAUACGACCCUCGGAGGCAUCUCCAGGGGGUGGAAAGAAUUUCGGUCAAGGAUGGACUCGCGGCCUAUCAGCUAGUUGGUGAGGUAAUGGCUCACCAAGGCGACGAGGGGUAGCCGGCCUGAGAGGGUGACCGGCCACACGGGGACUGAGACACGGCCCAGACUCCUACGGGAGGCAGCAGUGGGGAAUAUUGCACAAUGGGCGAAAGCCUGACGCAGCAACGCCGCGUGCGGGAUGACGGCCUUCGGGUUGUAAACCGCUUUCAGCAGGGAAGAAGCCGCAAGGUGACGGUACCUGCAGAAGAAGCACCGGCUAACUACGUGCCAGCAGCCGCAGUAA